rnacentral:rRNA from 1 species
UACGUAGGGGGCUAGCGUUGUUCGGAUUCAUUGGGCGUAAAGGGUGCGUAGGCGGCGCGGUAAGUCGGAUGUGAAAUCUCGGGGCUUAACUCCGAAACUGCAUUCGAUACUGCCGUGCUUGAGGACUGGAGAGGAGACUGGAAUUUACGGUGUAGCGGUGAAAUGCGUAGAUAUCGUAAGGAAGACCAGUGGCGAAGGCGGGUCUCUGGACAGUUCCUGACGCUGAGGCACGAAGGCCAGGGGAGCAAACGGG